rnacentral:rRNA from 1 species
CCUACGGGCGGCAGCAGUGGGGAAUAUUGGACAAUGGGGGGAACCCUGAUCCAGCCAUGCCGCGUGUGUGAAGAAGGCCCUCGGGUUGUAAAGCACUUUCAGUGAGGAAGAACGCCUGGUGGUUAAUACCCAUCAGGAAAGACAUCACUCACAGAAGAAGCACCGGCUAACUCCGUGCCAGCAGCUGCGGUAAUACGGAGGGUGCGAGCGUUAAUCGGAAUUACUGGGCGUAAAGCGCGCGUAGGUGGCUUGAUAAGCCGGUUGUGAAAGCCCCGGGCUCAACCUGGGAACGGCAUCCGGAACUGUCAAGCUAGAGUGCAGGAGAGGAAGGUAGAAUUCCUGGUGUAGCGGUGAAAUGCGUAGAGAUCGGGAGGAAUACCAGUGGCGAAGGCGGCCUUCUGGACUGACACUGACACUGAGGUGCGAAAGCGUGGGUAGCAAACAGGAUUAGAUACCCUAGUAGUC